rnacentral:tRNA from 1 species
GCCCUCAUAGCUCAGCUGGAUAGAGCGUCCCCCUCCUAAGGGGAAGGUCGCACGUUCGAAUCGUGCUGGGGGCACCA